UCCCGUGUAGCUCAAUUGGUAGAGCAUGGUGCUUGUAACGCCAGGGUUGUGGGUUUGACUCCCAAGGGGG
rnacentral:tRNA from 1 species